rnacentral:rRNA from 1 species
CAGUAGCCGCGGGAAUACGGAGGGUGCAAGCGUUAAUCGGAAUUACUGGGCGUAAAGCGCACGCAGGCGGUCUGUCAAGUCAGAUGUGAAAUCCCCGGGCUUAACCUGGGAACUGCAUUUGAAACUGGCAGGCUAGAGUCUUGUAGAGGGGGGUAGAAUUCCAGGUGUAGCGGUGAAAUGCGUAGAGAUCUGGAGGAAUACCGGUGGCGAAGGCGGCCCCCUGGACAAAGACUGACGCUCAGGUGCGAAAGCGUGGGGAGCAAACAGGAUUAGAUACCCCGGUAGUCCCUGUCUCUUAUAC